GGGCUUGAGGUCGGUACUGACAUAAAACCCACUUUGAACGCAUUAAAACCCAUUUAUCCUGAAGACCCUCAUCUAUUGAGUUGUUUGUAAGGACAUCAGCACCCAUCUUUCAAAUUCAACCUCCAAUCUCCAGGCCAGAACCACCUAUGAUGCUUUAAAGGCUUUAGAUGUCCUUGAGCAAAGCCACCAAGGAGGAAGCAGUAACUGAGGAGGAUUUUUAGGGUGUCCUGAGCUCAGCCACCUUCUGAGGUAUUUGCUUCUCCCUCCAGGAGCCUGUAAUCCCAACCUCAACCCCACACCAGCUGCUGAACCUCUGCAGACAUCAUCAUUCAUUCCUGGGAAAACUAGGACAUACCUCAGCCUAAGCAGAGACAAAUGACCUCCAAGUGCUCCAUGCCUGGCUAGAAGCUGCUGUGGUGCACGAAGAAGACAGAAAAUUGGAGGAGAGUUGGAGCAAAUAAAGAAGUGGAUGCCACUGGAAACUUUUUGGGGGAUAAAAAGGAGAACUUCCUGCAUCCUGAGGACACUCCCCAGGUGAUGGGAAGAGACAGAGCUGUCAGUGCUUGGAUUGCAGCCUGAAGGAUGCAGCAAUGGGCA
rnacentral:lncRNA from 1 species